GAUGAACGCUGGCGGCGUGCCUAAUACAUGCAAGUCGAGCGAACAGACGAGGAGCUUGCUUCUCUGACGUUAGCGGCGGACGGGUGAGUAACACGUGGAUAACCUACCUAUAAGACUGGGAUAACUUCGGGAAACCGGAGCUAAUACCGGAUAAUAUAUUGAACCGCAUGGUUCAAUAGUGAAAGACGGUUUUGCUGUCACUUAUAGAUGGAUCCGCGCCGCAUUAGCUAGUUGGUAAGGUAACGGCUUACCAAGGCAACGAUGCGUAGCCGACCUGAGAGGGUGAUCGGCCACACUGGAACUGAGACACGGUCCAGACUCCUACGGGAGGCAGCAGUAGGGAAUCUUCCGCAAUGGGCGAAAGCCUGUCGGAGCAACGCCGCGUGAGUGAUGAAGGUCUUCGGAUCGUAAAACUCUGUUAUUAGGGAAGAACAAAUGUGUAAGUAACUAUGCACGUCUUGACGGUACCUAAUCAGAAAGCCACGGCUAACUACGUG
rnacentral:rRNA from 1 species